GAAAUGCGAUAAGUAGUGUGAAUUGCAGAAUUCAGUGAAUCAUCGAAUCUUUGAACGCACAUUGCGCCCCUUGGUAUUCCAUGGGGCAUGCCUGUUCGAGCGUCAUUUGUACCCUCAAGCUCUGCUUGGUGUUGGGUGUUUGUCCCCGUCUCCGCGCGUGGACUCGCCCCAAAGUGAUUGGCAGCCGGCGUACUGGUCCCGGAGCGCAGCACAUGUCGCGCAAACGAGUGCCUUGGUACGGCGGCGUCCAUAAGCCCCUCUCUCACGCUCUUGACCUCGGAUAAGGUAGGGAUACCCGCUGAACUUAAGC
rnacentral:misc_RNA from 1 species